rnacentral:rRNA from 1 species
GUGCCAGCCGCCGCGGUAAUACGGAGGGGGCGAGCGUUAUUCGGAAUUAUUGGGCGUAAAGGGCGCGUAGGCGGCCCGGUAAGUCAAAGGUGAAAUCCCUCGGCUCAACUGAGGAACUGCCUUUGAAACUGCCAGGCUCGAGGCCGGGAGGGGGUAGCGGAAUUCCCAGUGUAGCGGUGAAAUGCGUAGAUAUUGGGAGGAACACCGGUGGCGAAGGCGGCUACCUGGACCGGAUCUGACGCUGAUGCGCGAAAGCGUGGGUAGCAAACAGGAUUAGAUACCCGUGUAGUCC